rnacentral:rRNA from 2 species
GACGCUGGCGGCGUGCCUAAUACAUGCAAGUCGAACGAGUUCUCGUUGAUGAUCGGUGCUUGCACCGAGAUUCAACAUGGAACGAGUGGCGGACGGGUGAGUAACACGUGGGUAACCUGCCCUUAAGUGGGGGAUAACAUUUGGAAACAGAUGCUAAUACCGCAUAGAUCCAAGAACCGCAUGGUUCUUGGCUGAAAGAUGGCGUAAGCUAUCGCUUUUGGAUGGACCCGCGGCGUAUUAGCUAGUUGGUGAGGUAAUGGCUCACCAAGGCGAUGAUACGUAGCCGAACUGAGAGGUUGAUCGGCCACAUUGGGACUGAGACACGGCCCAAACUCCUACGGGAGGCAGCAGUAGGGAAUCUUCCACAAUGGACGCAAGUCUGAUGGAGCAACGCCGCGUGAGUGAAGAAGGCUUUCGGGUCGUAAAACUCUGUUGUUGGAGAAGAAUGGUCGGCAGAGUAACUGUUGUCGGCGUGACGGUAUCCAACCAGAAAGCCACGGCUAACUACGUGCCAGCAGCCGCGGUAAUACGUAGGUGGCAAGCGUUAUCCGGAUUUAUUGGGCGUAAAGCGAGCGCAGGCGGUUUUUUAAGUCUGAUGUGAAAGCCCUCGGCUUAACCGAGGAAGCGCAUCGGAAACUGGGAAACUUGAGUGCAGAAGAGGACAGUGGAACUCCAUGUGUAGCGGUGAAAUGCGUAGAUAUAUGGAAGAACACCAGUGGCGAAGGCGGCUGUCUGGUCUGUAACUGACGCUGAGGCUCGAAAGCAUGGGUAGCGAACAGGAUUAGAUACCCUGGUAGUCCAUGCCGUAAACGAUGAAUGCUAGGUGUUGGAGGGUUUCCGCCCUUCAGUGCCGCAGCUAACGCAUUAAGCAUUCCGCCUGGGGAGUACGACCGCAAGGUUGAAACUCAAAGGAAUUGACGGGGGCCCGCACAAGCGGUGGAGCAUGUGGUUUAAUUCGAAGCAACGCGAAGAACCUUACCAGGUCUUGACAUCUUUUGAUCACCUGAGAGAUCAGGUUUCCCCUUCGGGGGCAAAAUGACAGGUGGUGCAUGGUUGUCGUCAGCUCGUGUCGUGAGAUGUUGGGUUAAGUCCCGCAACGAGCGCAACCCUUAUGACUAGUUGCCAGCAUUUAGUUGGGCACUCUAGUAAGACUGCCGGUGACAAACCGGAGGAAGGUGGGGAUGACGUCAAAUCAUCAUGCCCCUUAUGACCUGGGCUACACACGUGCUACAAUGGAUGGUACAACGAGUUGCGAGACCGCGAGGUCAAGCUAAUCUCUUAAAGCCAUUCUCAGUUCGGACUGUAGGCUGCAACUCGCCUACACGAAGUCGGAAUCGCUAGUAAUCGCGGAUCAGCACGCCGCGGUGAAUACGUUCCCGGGCCUUGUACACACCGCCCGUCACACCAUGAGAGUUUGUAACACCCGAAGCCGGUGGCGUAACCCUUUUAGGGAGCGAGCCGUCUAAGGUGGGACAAAUGAUUAGGGU